GGCGGCGGCGGCUGCGCCGCCAUCUUGGGGGCGGCACCCCGCUCAGCCGCGGCGGCUCCGCCGCCAUGUCGGUGGUUCCCGGUUGCCGGGGCGGCGGCGGCGGGAUGGUGCCGGUCCUACCGGGGCUCUACGUGGGCGGCGCGGAAUCGUGCUCGUCCCCGGAGUCGCUGUCGGCGGCGGGGGUGGUGGCGGUGCUAACGGUGGAGGCGGAGGAGGAGGAGGAACCGCCGCCGGGGAUGCGGGCCAUGCACGUCCGGGCGCGGGACGAGCCCGGCGCCGACCUGCUGAGCCGCCUGGACGACUGCGCCGCCUUCAUCGACGCGGCGAGGGCGGACGGCGGCGCCGUCCUCGUCCGCUGCCGGGCCGGGGUGAGCCGCAGCGUGGCCGUGGUGACCGCCUACCUCAUGAAGAAGGAGGGACUCGGCUGGGAGGAGGCUUACGCCGUCGUCAGGACCGCCAAACCCGACGCCGAGGUGAACCCGGGUUUCCAAGGGCAGCUGAAGCUCUACGAAGCCAUGGGCUGCGCCGUAGACAGCAGCAGCGCCUUCUACAAGCGGUACCGGCUGCAGAUGCUCACGGAGAGGUACCCCGAAAUGAACGCAGAAGGCCGUGUCAGAGGAGGUUGGCUUCGAGUAUCGCCCUCGGAGCAGCCGAGCCUUGAGUUGGCUAGCCAAACGUUCGUACCGGCCCUAGAGAAUUGCUGCUCAUCGGUGGGGGAAAAAAGUGUCUUUGAGAGAUGCCUGAGAAAUAAGAUCCGUAAGGAACUGUUCUCUUUAGCAAAACGCAGAAAUGGUAAAGAACUUCAAGACUUGCCCCGAGAAGUCUUUGCUGUUGAUCCAACCAAUAUAUGUCAAACUCCGAACACAGAGGUUCUCUACAGGUGCAGGAAAUGCAGGGCAGGCGCGCUCUGUUCCGUGGUUCCAGCAUUUUGUCCCACGUGGAAGGAAGCGGACCGACAGCCUUUGCCCACAAGAGGAUAACAGACUCUGCUCAGCUCUGUGGCGAUAGCCGCGAAAAGUGUACCUCUUACUUCACCGAGCCUGUGCAGUGGAUGGAGCCAGCGUUGCUCGGAGUAAUGGAAGGACAGCUUCUGUGUCCGAAAUGCACGUCGAAGCUGGGCUCCUUCAGCUGGCGGGGUGAGCAGUGUUCCUGUGGCCGCUGGGUGACGCCUGCCUUCCAGAUCCACAAAAGCCGAGUGGACGAAGUGAGGACGCUGCCAGGUGGUAACUUCCAAACUGCCAAAACCUGAACUCGUCGCUUCUCUCGAUGGGUUUCUUAAGGUCUGCAGAGAACUGCUGGCUAGUCCAUGGUUGCCAGGAGCGAGCUUGUGACUUCCACCUCUUUGUAAUGCAGUGGGAUUACUUGGAACAUCUGCUCUAUUCGAGCUUGCUGUAUCUCUAAUAUAUAUAAUAUAUAAAAGAGCAAAAUAAUUCCUUCAAAGAGGUGUUACACAGUGGUCAAAUAUGUACAAAAAUACCCGAAUGUCAUGUUUUUAGCAUAUUCUCACUUCAUCUGUUGCUAUUUAGAGAAGGUCUCGACUCCUUAUUUAAAAGGAAUGCCAACAUGUUACUUUCAGGCUGUGGCCAGCAGUGCUGCUUGUCUUCCGAUCCAAAGUUCCAAGUGGUUUGUCUGAAGCAGGCAGCUGAGAUUGUAGGAGGUGCAUUCCACAUCAUGAGGUACGCGGCAAGGAAAUAUUUUAAGGCUUGGCCAAGUGCCAUAAAAUGGUACAAUUACAAUUGUUGCAUGAGCAUGCAUGGCAGCUACUAGCAGUGAAAGGGAAGUUUACAGUUAUACUUUCAUUGUAAUAAAAGUAGUCCUAAAAAUAUCCGCCACAAGAAUAUUUACUACAUUGUAACUUUUAUGUAAUAUCUGAGGAGAUUAUGCAAGCUGUACUGGAAUAGGAGAACUGAAGUAAAGUGUCCCUGCCAAA